rnacentral:ribozyme from 2 species
UUGGUAACCUAGCCUCACUCUGAGAGCGUCUCAAGCCGUCUGUAAAUUAGGGAGAGCCAA